rnacentral:rRNA from 1 species
AUUGAACGCUGGCGGCAUGCUUUACACAUGCAAGUCGAACGGUAACAGGCCUUCGGGUGCUGACGAGUGGCGCACGGGUGAGUAAUGCAUCGGAACGUGCCCAGAGGUGGGGGAUAACGCAGCGAAAGCUGUGCUAAUACCGCAUGUGAUCUGAGGAUGAAAGCGGGGGACCAGGCAGCAAUGUUUGGCCUCGCGCCUUUGGAGCGGCCGAUGUCAGAUUAGGUAGUUGGUGGGGUAAAGGCCUACCAAGCCGACGAUCUGUAGCUGGUCUGAGAGGACGACCAGCCACACUGGGACUGAGACACGGCCCAGACUCCUACGGGAGGCAGCGGUGGGGAAUUUUGGACAAUGGGCGCAAGCCUGAUCCAGCAAUGCCGCGUGCGGGAAGAAGGCCUUCGGGUUGUAAACCGCUUUUGUACGGAACGAAAAGGCUCUGGCUAAUACCUGGGGCUGAUGACGGUACCGUAAGAAUAAGCACCGGCUAACUACGUG